AGAGUUUGAUCCUGGCUCAGAACGAACGCUGGCGGCGUGGAUAAGACAUGCAAGUCGAACGAGAGAAUUGCUAGCUUGCUAAUAAUUCUCUAGUGGCGCACGGGUGAGUAACACGUGAGUAACCUGCCCCCGAGAGCGGGAUAGCCCUGGGAAACUGGGAUUAAUACCGCAUAGUAUCGAAAGAUUAAAGCAGCAAUGCGCUUGGGGAUGGGCUCGCGGCCUAUUAGUUAGUUGGUGAGGUAACGGCUCACCAAGGCGAUGACGGGUAGCCGGUCUGAGAGGAUGUCCGGCCACACUGGAACUGAGACACGGUCCAGACACCUACGGGUGGCAGCAGUCGAGAAUCAUUCACAAUGGGGGAAACCCUGAUGGUGUGACGCCGCGUGGGGGAAUGAAGGUCUUCGGAUUGUAAACCCCUGUCAUGUGGGAGCAAAUUAAAAAGAUAGUACCACAAGAGGAAGAGACGGCUAACUCUGUGCCAGCAGCCGCGGUAAUACAGAGGUCUCAAGCGUUGUUCGGAAUCACUGGGCGUAAAGCGUGCGUAGGCUGUUUCGUAAGUCGUGUGUGAAAGGCGCGGGCUCAACCCGCGGACGGCACAUGAUACUGCGAGACUAGAGUAAUGGAGGGGGAACCGGAAUUCUCGGUGUAGCAGUGAAAUGCGUAGAUAUCGAGAGGAACACUCGUGGCGAAGGCGGGUUCCUGGACAUUAACUGACGCUGAGGCACGAAGGCCAGGGGAGCGAAAGGGAUUAGAUACCCCUGUAGUCCUGGCAGUAAACGGUGCACGCUUGGUGUGCGGGGAAUCGACCCCCUGCGUGCCGGAGCUAACGCGUUAAGCGUGCCGCCCUGGGGAGUACGGUCGCAAGAUUAAAACUCAAAGAAAUUGACGGGGACCCGCACAAGCGGUGGAGUAUGUGGCUUAAUUCGAUGCAACGCGAAGAACCUUACCUGGGCUUGACAUGUAAUGAACAACAUGUGAAAGCAUGCGACUCUUCGGAGGCGUUACACAGGUGCUGCAUGGCCGUCGUCAGCUCGUGUCGUGAGAUGUUUGGUUAAGUCCAGCAACGAGCGCAACCCCUGUUGCCAGUUACCAGCACGUGAAGGUGGGGACUCUGGCGAGACUGCCCAGAUCAACUGGGAGGAAGGUGGGGACGACGUCAGGUCAGUAUGGCCCUUAUGCCCAGGGCUGCACACGUACUACAAUGCCCAGUACAGAGGGGGCCGAAGCCGCGAGGCGGAGGAAAUCCUGAAAACUGGGCCCAGUUCGGACUGUAGGCUGCAACCCGCCUACACGAAGCCGGAAUCGCUAGUAAUGGCGCAUCAGCUACGGCGCCGUGAAUACGUUCCCGGGUCUUGCACUCACCGCCCGUCA
rnacentral:rRNA from 1 species